UACGUAGGGUGCAAGCGUUAAUCGGAAUUACUGGGCGUAAAGCGUGCGCAGGCGGUUCCGCAAGUCAGAUGUGAAAUCCCCGGGCUCAACCUGGGAACUGCAUUUGAAACUACGGAGCUAGAGUGUGUCAGAGGGGGGGUAGAAUUCCACGUGUAGCAGUGAAAUGCGUAGAGAUGUGGAGGAAUACCGAUGGCGAAGGCAGCCCCCUGGGAUGACACUGACGCUCAUGCACGAAAGCGUGGGGAGCAAACAGG
rnacentral:rRNA from 1 species